rnacentral:rRNA from 1 species
AUUGAACGCUGGCGGCAUGCUUUACACAUGCAAGUCGAACGGCAGCGCGGGCUUCGGCCUGGUGGCGAGUGGCGAACGGGUGAGUAAUGCAUCGGAACGUGCCCAGUAGUGGGGGAUAGCCCGGCGAAAGCCGGAUUAAUACCGCAUACGACCUGAGGGUGAAAGCGGGGGACCGAAAGGCCUCGCGCUAUUGGAGCGGCCGAUGUCGGAUUAGCUAGUUGGUGGGGUAAAGGCUUACCAAGGCGACGAUCCGUAGCUGGUCUGAGAGGACGACCAGCCACACUAGGACUGAGACACGGCCCAGACUCCUACGGGAGGCAGCAGUGGGGAAUUUUGGACAAUGGGGGCAACCCUGAUCCAGCCAUGCCGCGUGCGGGAAGAAGGCCUUCGGGUUGUAAACCGCUUUUGUUCGGGAAGAAAUCCUCUGGGCUAAUACCCCGGGGGGAUGACGGUACCGGAAGAAUAAGCACCGGCUAACUACGUG